rnacentral:lncRNA from 1 species
CUUUCCUCACUAGUUAGUGGUGCCUACUGCCUAGGCAUCGUCUGAUUUCUGGAAUUAGACAGCUUUUACAAAGUGAAGCUUGAAUGUUUUGCUUCAAUUUUUAUUUGUUAAUUUAUUUUUCCCUGUUUCUCUCGGUCUGAAAACUUGUCAUUACAUUUAAAUCAAAGCUGGAGACGGAGGUACAUGUGUCUUGUACAUUUUGGGAAAAGUUGAUCCACCGAGUUUUUGUUUUUCCUCUUUAAUUUAAUAAUAACAAUAAAACGGAUGAUGGAUCAGGAUCUGCCACUUUGAGUUGAAAUUAGUGAUUCGACCCGAAUGUGGAAUAAAGGAAGGGGGAUCUGUGACGCAUGAUGGAGCUGUGCAAUGUAAGUUGAGUGUGCCCAUUACAUUAAAAAAAUGCUGCAUUUGUAGUCCAGUGGUCGGUUGGUCGGUCGGCCAGUACGGCUUUGGCAAAGGAUCCGUCCUCAAUCGACAAUUUAUUCGUCCACUACGAUUUUAAUAUAAUUUUACUAUUUGUCGUACGUAUGCUAUUGUGGUCCUUCAAAUCUUCUCCUACGCCCUUCCCUUGGGUUCCCUACGGCUCUUGCAUAGACUAAUCAUUCAUGAUUGGUCAAGUUUUAUAUCAAGUGCAUGUAUUGAUGUGAUUGGAGCAAACUUUUCAACUAAGGCACUCGAAAUCUUUUUUGAGUGAGUGGACGAUUUCAGGAUCUUUCCGCCGGCCUCUGAUAUGUGCACUCCAAAUAGAAUGUAAGUUGGUUUCAUGCUUUGAUGAUUAGGAAGGUAUAAAUUCCUCAUUACUCAUUACAGGUUAAUUUUAUCCUUUAUUCCCACGCUAAUCUUGCAUCUUUUCAUACCCACCAAAAGCGUAAAGGAAAAUAUAUCAAUUAGACCUUUUUAGAUUUUUUUUUCCUCUCUAUCAAUAGACUUGAUAAUUUAAUAAUUUAAUGGUUUGUUACCUUUCUCUACAGCUUUCCCACGUAUCAAUAUAACUUAUAACGUAAGAUAGUAGUGGGAAAUGAAGAGAAAUGGGUGGAUAUAUGAAGUUGGGAUCUGUUGUGUUCCAGCUCAAGAAUGGUGUGAUUGUUCUCUGUUGAAUGGAGCUAUUUGUAUAUUCCAUGGAAGAUUCCUCAGGCCCUAUCGGUAGUGCUGUUCCUUUCCCAUCAUUUUCAAAUCCUGUACUACUUAAAAAUUUAAUUUUAUUGGUUCAUCUGUUUCCCACCUACACAGUAAUUGAUUCACUAAUCGAUAACGCCAUUAACAUCUGUGUUGAAUUUCUCUUUUAGUUGGGCUUUAUUAGGAUUCAAAUUCGAAACUUUACGAUUUUAAAGACACCUCGGUACUAAUGAGUUACAAUUUAUUAAUAAAUAACACCUUAUUAUAAAUUCAAAACAUAAAUAUAUAAAUCAUUCCAUAUAAAAAUUAUAAAAUUCACACAUUUAUGUAUUAAGUUUAUAAUAAAUCAAGUCUAUCUAAUUUUAUUUUAUUUUUUUUUCACUUUUAAACGAGCGAGUAAAUUAUGGCGUAACAGUUUAACUAAUAGUCUGCCUAACAGGAUAUGCGGUGCCUAUCCACUAAUAUAUAUGAAAUAACAAGAAAAGAAAAAGAUGAUGAGAGAGAGAGAGAGAGAGAGAGAGAGAGAGAGAGAGGAGAGCAUUAUUGGAUAAGAUAGAAGCGUAUUUGGAGACGGCAAGAUUAACCCCGCAAUAUGAUAAUGUUUAUAUCGUUGACUCUGUCUUCACAAAUUUAUACUUCAAAUUCAUUCACUUCCUAUAACUUAGUCCAGCAGCAAUAUUAGAAACUCCUUAUAAUAAAAGUCUCCGCUCAUAUCUACUCUUUCGAAAAAAUUUACAAUAAUCUUAUUAAUUAUAAUAAACACAUAUAAAUCCUCAUAUUUGAGAUCUAAAAAUGGAUUCAGAUUCAGAGUGUAUUUUGGUGAAUUUAGUUUCUAUUUUUCUUGCGUAUCCCUUUUUAUCUUUUUUUUUUUUUAUCUUUUUUGUCUUUCAGUGAUAGUGUAACAACCUUUCCAUAUCUAUACCCUCCUGUCACAGUUAAGCUGGCGGUGCAUACAAACGUACGACAUCCUUUUCUCUUACGUUAGGCGACUAUUUAAUUCCCUCUACAUCACCUGAAUACGAUUCAGAAUAUUACAGAGUCUAUUUUACCAUGAGGAAUGGGUAUUCAGGGUCAGGAUUCUAAGGACAGAUUCAUGUCCAGCCCGAUUUUUCCAGACUGACCUUGAUCCCACACGAGGCUUAAAGCCGCUCAUUGGGCCCUCUUGGAGUUUAGGCCCAGUCCUUCUAGCUUAGGCUUUACCAAGGCCCAGGUGCUUGGAGUAUGGCCGUCAUUAAGUGUCAUUUUAUCCGCUCAUUAAUUAUUCCAUAAUUUACGAGGGCUAAAUUUAAAAAUCUCAAUUAUUACCGCGCGACUCCAGAAAAGUUAUGUUAAAAUGUCCUUUCUUUACCUUUUUCCAUUUCAAACUUGUGCUUUUGCUUUCGCUCGUUGCUUUGUCUUUUGUGCUGCUUCUGCUAUCUUACUUUUUUCUUCUUUGUAAUCUUCGAUUUUCCAAUCUAAGGUACGUCUUGCUUCACUCAUGCCUUCUACUAGGAUUUUUGAGGUGGUCGGUCUUCUGUCUUCUAUCACUCUUUUUUAUUUCUCCCACUAUUUUUCUCGCGACCUCACUGACACCACAAUCUUCAAAAUUAGAGCUCUCUUGCCUAAUGAGCAUAUAGUUCUCCCUAACCCACUACCUGUAGGCCUGAUAGAUGCUCAACAAGCGCGUAAUUUGGUCUUUUUUGUAAAGCAGCACGAGUUUGGUUCUUACUUUUCCGUUUACUCCCUUUUUCAUUGAGGUCUUCCGUCACUUUAGAGUGACCCCUCGAAUGUUAUCUCCCAAUUUCAUCUUGUUUAUAUACUGUUUUGAAUCUAUUUGCUUGUGUAGGGGUUUUGCUUUUUCCCUCGAGUUAUUCUGUACUUUCUUCCAUUUGCUUAGAUCUAACCAUGGGUUCUACUAUUUUGGUCCCCGAAUUGGGUUGUCAAUAUUUACGAGGUAUAAGGAUUCCAUUAAGGGUUGGCCAAAACAGUUUGUUGUUAUUGAGCUGAAGGAGAGCUUGGGAAUUAACUGAGACAUUGACCUCUCCUGGAGGGAGAUUCCUUAGGGCUGUAAUGAGUUUUCUAGGUUAACCCUAGUAGAUCAAAUCUGCCUUCUUUGACUAACCUCUAUAAGGAAGAAAUAUAAUGUCGAGAAGUGCAUAUUCAUGUCUAACCUACGGGACUGCUAGGAAGCUGGUAGCUUUUGAUUUUUUUCCUUUUAUGUCUGUCUUUUGUUAUUUUGAGCUCUAAUUGAACCGAUCUUUUCUUUUCAGUUUCCUACGUUCCAAUGGGUACUAUUAAACUCCCUAAGAACUUCACCCUGUCCAGAGAGAGCAUGAAGGAGACUUUGGCUGCUUUCAAGGUUAACAAGUCUAUCACCGAUGUGACCCGGAGGUUUUCUAGGCUGCAACUCCUAUAUUGUUAGCUCACCCCUCUGCUCAUAUCCUCACACCCUCUUUGAAUUUGGUGCCAGUGUCGGGGGUUCUCGUUUUGCGGCUCCAGGAUGUUGAUCCCACCCAAGGCGUCGGCCUCUUCUAAGGCUCUAACCGCUCCAAAGGAAGUUUACAAGGAGCCCAUUGUGGUUAGUGAGUCGGCGAACAAUAGCUUGGAGGAGGGCAUCGGGUCUCCACCCUUGGACGUUUCCCCCAUCAGGGCCGUGAGAGUUAUUGCUAUGGAGGGUCAGGUUGCUAAGCGCGCCAGGGCUUCAUAGCCCACGGAGAAAGUUCCUUCCACUCAUGUUGAUAAGGGGAAGAAGGUGGUGGAGAACCUAUCUUCUGCCCCAGAUAACGACCUGCUAAAUGCUGUCGA